CUUUGAAAGAGAGAUCUGCCAGCCUGCAUCACAUCAACCACCCCAACCUGGGCUCCUCACACUGACUCAGUCACAAAGGCAGCUUUCAAAGGCCAGAUCUUUCCCAGGGCUUAAGCUGUUCCUUGGAUACUUUUG
rnacentral:lncRNA from 1 species